rnacentral:tRNA from 2 species
GCGGAGAUAGCUCAGCGGUAGAGCACUGGUCUUACACACCAGCGGUCGGGGGUUCGACACCCUCUCUCCGCACCA